UUACGGUCAAAUCACGCUGAAAACACCGGUUCUCGUUCGAUCACCGAAGUUAACCAUCGUAGAGCCAGGUCAGUACUUAGAUGGGGGACCGCUUGGGAACACCUGGUACUGUAA